GAUGAACGCUAGCGGGAGGCCUAAUACAUGCAAGUCGAACGGUAACAGGGUAGCAAUAUCGCUGACGAGUGGCGCACGGGUGAGUAACACGUACACAAUCUGCCUUAUACUGGAGCAUACCCCCAAGAAAUUGGGAUUAAUUCUCCAUAAUAUAUUGAAGAGGCAUCUCUUUGAUAUUAAAACUCCGGUGGUAUAAGAUGAGUGUGCGUCUGAUUAGCCAGUUGGCGGGGUAACGGCCCACCAAGUCUACGAUCAGUAGCUGAUGUGAGAGCAUGAUCAGCCACACGGGCACUGAGACACGGGCCCGACUCCUACGGGAGGCAGCAGUAAGGAAUAUUGGACAAUGGACGCAAGUCUGAUCCAGCCAUGCCGCGUGAAGGAUUAAGGUCCUCUGGAUUGUAAACUUCUUUUAUAAGGGACGAAAAAAGGCUUUUCUAAGUCGUCUGACGGUACCUUAUGAAUAAGCACCGGCUAACUCCGUGCCAGCCGCCGCGGUAAGAC
rnacentral:rRNA from 1 species